UGGAAUAAUUUUCGAUACGAAAUCAGAAUAUAUCCACGUAAGGAUUCUGAAAAUAAACGAGAAAUCCAAAGUUUGUUCAAAGAUAAGAAAAUCUAAAGGGGGAUAAACUCCAUAAACCAUCAAAAUUUCCCAUUCUCAACCCGCUACACGAAAUCAGUUCAAAUCACCAAUAGAUUGAAGAGACACCAAAACACGAAGAGCAACAUCUGUGGCAAAGCAAGACAGAAAUAGCAGAAUAUCAAAAGCCCAAUCCUUCAGAAGAAUCUUGGCGUAAUUGUCCGUAUGUCUCUAUCAUCUUAUCAAGUAAUGAUGAUAUUUUCACGUUAGGAUUUACGCAAGAAACAAAAAGUUUUUGCAAAGAUAGGAGAAUCUGGGGGGAAACUCCAUUAGAGCAUAUAAUUUCUUCAAUGGGACCUUAAAAAAAUGGAAAAAUAGGAAAGAAAAAAAGCCCCUUUGUUUUGGAAAUUGAAUUCUGCACCCUAACAUAUGAAAUUAAUUGAUGUAUUUAUGGAUCCAUUGGGACUGACUGGUCUCGAAUCCCCAGCCUGGAAUAAUAAUCACGAUAUAUCAUCGCGUUAGGAUUCAAUAAUAAAUAAAUAUCCAAAAUUUUCAAUAAAAAUAAAAACUAUCUACACGGGAAGAACUCCAUCAAAUUUUCCACUCUCAAUAAGGUAAUUGAAAUAAGUUCAAAUUACGAAAAGAUUAAAAUUCACCAUAAUACCAAAAGAAGAAUACCGCCGAAGAAAGGAAGGAAGAAAGAAAACGGGCCAAAACCACCAAAGAAACAUAAAAGAAAACCCAAGAUCAAACCCAUCAUAAUCAAGAAAUUACCGGAAUACUUGUUCCUGGACCAGGCAAUCGCACCAAAAACCCAAUCCUUCUAAAAAUUAUUGGAAUAAUUGUUAAUAUAUCUAUCAUCAGACCUGGAAAUCACAGAAAAAAAAUGAUAAACUAAGAAUCCAAAGUUUUGGGAUUAAAAAAAUACGAGAAUCUAGAGGAAAAGAACUUAAGCAAUAUUGCCGAUUUAAAUUACCGAAACCCAACAAUGGAGAAACAAUGAGACAACCGUAUGACCAUCACCC
rnacentral:lncRNA from 1 species